GGAGGGAUUCAGAGUAGAGCCACUGCCCCUUUGCAUUGAAAGGAGCCAGCUGAGAUGGUUCAGCAUCUGUUGAGGAUGCCCCAUGAUAGGUCUUCCAGAUACAUCUAACUGGGAGGAGGCCAUGGGGAAGACCCAGGAUACGCUGGAGGGAUUAUAUUUACCAGCUGGCUUGGGAACACCUCUGGAUUCCCUA